rnacentral:rRNA from 1 species
ACGUAGGGUGCGAGCGUUAAUCGGAAUUACUGGGCGUAAAGCGUGCGCAGGCGGUUGUGCAAGACAGAUGUGAAAUCCCCGGGCUUAACCUGGGAAUGGCAUUUGUGACUGCACGGCUAGAGUGUGUCAGAGGGGGGUAGAAUUCCACGUGUAGCAGUGAAAUGCGUAGAGAUGUGGAGGAACACCGAUGGCGAAGGCAGCCCCCUGGGUCAAAACUGACGCUCAUGCACGAAAGCGUGGGGAGCAAACAGGA